UGGGCUUUUCACUUAUGCAAUAGUUUACAUCGUUAUUUUAUAGCGUUUUCGUCGAAAAAUCAUGUGAUAUAUCAACUAGAACACAUUACCUUAACAUUUGAAGUAACAAAGGCAUUUCAUAGUUCAACAUAUCCACUCACGUCACUACCUUCGUCCCUAUGUUUUCUAAUGCAAACGACCUCCGAUUAGGGUGAAAUUUGGAUAUAUGCUAGAUAUCAAUAUGUAC
rnacentral:lncRNA from 1 species